rnacentral:rRNA from 1 species
GAAGUCGGAAUUGCUAGUAAUGGCAGGUCAGCAUACUGCCGUGAAUACGUUCCCGGGGCCCUUGUACACACCGCCCGUCACACCAUGAGAGUUGGAGAUACCCGAAGCCUGUGAGCUAACUUUUAGAGGCAGCAGUCGAAGGUAGAAUCAAUGAUUGGGGUGAAGUCGUAACAAGGUAUC